AUUGAACGCUGGCGGCAUGCCUUACACAUGCAAGUCGAACGGCAGCGGGCCCUUCGGGGUGCCGGCGAGUGGCGAACGGGUGAGUAAUGCAUCGGAACGUACCCGGGAGAGGGGGAUAACCGGCCGAAAGGCUGGCUAAUACCGCAUGAACUCGGAAGAGCAAAGCGGGGGACCUUCGGGCCUCGCGCUCUCGGAGCGGCCGAUGUCCGAUUAGGCUAGUUGGUGGGGUAAAGGCCCACCAAGGCGGCGAUCGGUAGCGGGUCUGAGAGGACGAUCCGCCACACUGGGACUGAGACACGGCCCAGACUCCUACGGGAGGCAGCAGUGGGGAAUCUUGGACAAUGGGCGCAAGCCUGAUCCAGCAAUGCCGCGUGGGUGAAGAAGGCCUUCGGGUUGUAAAGCCCUUUCGGCGGGGAAGAAAUCGGUCAGGCGAAUAGUCUGGCCGGAUGACGGUACCCGCAGAAGAAGCACCGGCUAACUACGUG
rnacentral:rRNA from 1 species